GUUGAUGACAGCUAGUCAAGGUGUAAAAGUAAACACAUCUGAAUCUCAGGGAAAAGCUACGCUACUUCAACUUCAGGAUUCAGUCAUUCCUGCUUGUUCAGAACCACAGGGUAAAAUGAGCACUGCACUUACAAAGGGCUAAUCACAAGCGAGGGCACUGUGGCGACCUUUCACCAGGUGUCAAGGUGUGGCGGCCUCUGUAGACCCAUGACUCAGAACACCAGGCCAGGCACCAUCUGGGAACACAUCUGCGACUUCAUAUGAAAAAAAGGUGUAAUUUAGUUGAAGCAAUUAACUUAAAGUUGAGGAGAGAGCCGCUAAGUGCUCUGACCCCCUUGCUUCCAGCACGUUCAUACGAAUUGGGAUUUGGUGGCCUCACACGCAUAGGCUCACGAUCCUCACAGGGGACAGGGAAGACGCCACGAUCUGCAUUUUACCGACAGGAGGCGCAGGAACUUGCCGGAGAUCGCAGAGCAGGAAUUAUGCAUUUGUGAUGGAGUUGAGUCCUGGCACAGAGAUCAAGAGGCCGGAAGAGCAGAUUGGAAAAGGGAGUUCAGAAGCUUAGUCCAUGGUCCUGUCCGCUCAAGAUCAGACAUGCUUGGAGCUCUGCUGAAUUUUAAUCUUCACUCUUAUUCAAAACCAUUGACUCCUAACGCCUGGGAAAGCCAGUGGAGAGAGGGCUUCCCUCUGAGUAAAUUCGAGGGAAGCAUGUGGUAGAGAAUACCCAUGGCUGUCUUGUAAAAUGAAGCCCCCAGGCACCAGCUCUAAAUUCCCUACCGAAUGUGACUUACUCAUCUAGUUCCAUCGUCCAAGGCCCCAGUUUUCUCUUUGCUUCAAUAUGUACAUCAAUAUACUAUCUUCAACUUUUGUAGCAUUUUCUAUGCUGUUUAGCCCUGUAUGCAUUAUCUGUUUCCUUUUUUUUUUUUUUUUUUUUUUGAGACAGGGUCUCACUGUAACCCCAGGCUGGAGUGCAGUGGCACGAUGAUGGUUCACUAUAGCCUUGAACUCCUAGGCUCAAGCAAUCCUCCCACCUCACCCCCGGCCAGUAGCUGGGACUACAGGUAUGUGCCACCAUGCCUGGUUUUUUUUUUAUACAGGGUCUCACUGUUACCCAGGCUGGAAGGAAUGCAGUGGCGUGAUCAUGGCUCACUGCAGCCUCGAACUCUUGUGCUCAGGUGAUCCUCCCACUUUUGCCUCCUGAGUAGCUGGGACUACAGGCAGGCACCACCAUGCCCAGCUAAUUUUUUGUGUUUUUUUAAUAGAGACAGGGUCUCACUAUGUUGCCCAGGCUGGUCUCGAACUCCUAGACUCAUGCAAUCCGUCUACUUCAGCCUCCCAAAGGGCUGGGAUUACAGGCAUAAGCCACUGCAUUCAGCCUUUUUUUUUUUUUUUUUUUUUUUUUUGUGGAAACAGGGUCUCACUGUGUUGCUCAGGCUGGUUCAAACUCCUGGUCUCAAGUGAUCCCCCUGCCUCAGCACCCCCAAAAUCUUGGGAUUGCAGGCAUGAGCCACCGCACCUUGCCUGUUUACUUUAGAUUUGGGAUCCCCAAGUUCCCCCUGCCAUAUGCCCCUACCAAAUGAAAUCUCUCUAGUCACUCUUCUCAUUCAACAUUCAUGGUGGCAAGACGAGGAAGAUUAUUGUACACUCCCUGAGACUUAGAAGGAAAUGGGCACCUGUUAUUUCAGCUGACCAGAUUCCUUACCCAGAAAUCCACCUGAAAGAGGUCUGGAGUCAGCAUGAAUUACUAGCUGUGUGAGGUGAGGGAUGCCGCUUCACCACUCUGAGUGUUAGCUUUCCCAUCUGAAACACGUGGAUAAUAUUGGCUACACUGCAGAGGCCCUGAGAGGAUUACAUGUAAUGUAUGUAAAGCAGCUGGUACACAGUAGUACUCAAUAAAUGGUAGCUAUAAUUAUUACUCACCUCCUUCAUCAUAAUCUUCAAGCAUGAAAAGUACUGUGGGUGUCUUGAGGGUCCAGCCGAGCAGGACAAGGCAUUCCUUUCAUGUUUUCUUUCCUAACUGCAUUGCCCUCCUCACUCAUUCUUUUAAAACUAAGUAAAAUAAGACUGACCUAAUUCUUCCCACAUUUAUCCAAAUGAAAAAUCUAGAACUCAGCUUUGCUGCUCUCCAGAUUCUGUUUUCUGCCAUCAAUCCGCAAGGACACACCACCCAACUUUUUUUUAAAUUUACAAUUUUUUUUUGAGACAGAGCCUUGCUCUGUCGCCCAGGCUGGAGUGCAGUGGCAUGGUCUCCACUUACCACAACCUCUCCCUCCCAGUUCAAGCGAUUCUCCUGCCUCAGCCUACUCAGUAGCUGGGAUUACGGGGGUGCAGGCUACCACACCUGCCUAAUUUUUUUGUAUUUUUAAUAGAGAUAGGGUUUCACCUUGUUGGCCAGGCUGGUCUCGAACUCCUGACCUCAAGUG
rnacentral:lncRNA from 10 species